rnacentral:rRNA from 1 species
CUCACCAGGUCAGGACACGGUAAGGAUUGACGGACUGAAGGCUCUUUCUCGAUUCCGUGGAAAGUGGUGCAUGGCCGUUUUUGGUUGGUGGAUCGAUCCGUCUGGUUAAUUCCGUUAACGAACGAGACCUCGGCACUCCGAAUAGCGCGGCGGACGUCGCGGCCUCCGGGCCGUCUUCCGCACGAGCUUCUUAGAGGGACCGUCCCCCGCCGGGGAAGGAGGUGCGAGGCAACGACAGGUCUGUGAUGCCCUUAGAUGUUCUGGGCCGCACGCGCAUUACACUGACGCGUCCAACGGGUGACUCCCGACCCGAAGGGGCCGGGGAAUCCGCAAGGCGCGUCGUGAUGGGGAUUGAACGUUGCAAUUGUUGUUCACGAACGAGGAAUUCCUAGUAGGCGCGGGUCAUCAACCCGCGCCGAUUACGUCCCUGCCCUUUGUACACA